GAACUAUUUUUCAGAAGGGAAUUUUCCCCGGAAGACCCUCCACCGGGAGUCACCGCUCGUCGGGUCUCCGUCCCCCUCUUUCCCCGCUCCCCCGAAUCAGAACUCCGACCUCCGGAGUCGCGCUCGGCGACCGCGCUGCCCUGCCACCUCGAGCAAGCAAGGGAGAUGUCUCUAAUCCGAAUAGCUUUUUCUUUGGUCCUCCUCCUCGCCGCGGCGGAGUCCGCGGCGGCGACGCGCUCACCGUCGGCCUUCGUGCAGAACGCCAUCUACUCCAACCGCAUCACCAUCUUCUCCAAAUCCUACUGCCCGUACUGUAUGCGUACUAAGCGAAUAUUUAAAGACCUCAAUGAAAAUCCUUACGUUGUUGAACUUGAUCUCCGAGAGGAUGGCCGAGACAUUCAAGGUGUUCUUCUAGACCUAGUUGGGCGCAAUACUGUGCCACAGGUGUUUGUGAAUGGCCACCACGUUGGUGGCUCAGAUGAUACAAAAACUGCUCUUUCAGACGGACAACUUCAGAAACUUCUUGGUCAGAGUCAGUCGCAGUGAUGAUCACCGCCGAAGCUUGGUAUUGCCCAAAACUUGUGAAAUGUCUAACAUGCGGUGUUCCUUAUGGGAGGAAUGGAACCUUAACACUCUUUAGGAAUAUGAACAGAGUGUUGCAGCUCAUGCCAGGAUUUUUUAUUUUUUUGAGUGGAAGUGUUGUGACAAAAAUCCAUGUGCUGGAUUGUAUGGUUUUCUCAAGUGCAUAUACAUUUAUCUGUUGUGCCUGUUUUUAUUACUGUUUGUGUUCAUAAGUACUCUACUUCCUCUUCCAUUUUGUAUCACAUGACUUGGUUUCAGCCUUCAUAUUAUGGAAUUUUAUUGGAAUAUCAUU
rnacentral:rRNA from 1 species